AACAAUAAUAGGAAAAUAAUCGAGGUGUAAAAUUGUUCAGUGAACACAAAUGGGUCCUGGGUUAUUUAAAGUAGAUAGGUAACGUAUAUGUAUGAUAAGACUGAUAAGUACACUGAGUCGCGUCAUUCGGACGCGGCUAGUUCAAUUCGAGACAGUUGGACAAUUUAAAUUCAUUUUUUUUAAAGUCUCAUUUUUGAAUGAAAAUUGUCGUAGUCUAAUAGUUGAUGUUCGUCAAAAUUACGACGAUUAAAUUACGUAUACAAACAAAAACAAAUCAGAAUUCACUUUAUCAUACAAACCAAUCUGUGACUUAACUAGUGUGGUAUUGUAAACUGCGUCAGAAUACAGAUACCGGUUAGAUAUAAAGUUCAAGUAACGCGAGCAUUAUGGACUACGGGCAAUUUAGGUUGAUAUUAAAUGACUAACUAUACUAACCAAUGCAUAAACCAUCCAUACUUCAUUUCGAUUGCUCGUAAAGGAUCGAUCUUUAAGUUGGAUUCAUAAUCGCAAGGAAUUUUCUCAUUACAAGCAGCAAACUAAAAUGAUAAUACCUACAAGCGCUAUGUCUUCAACAGUGACAUUGGUUUUAACAUUGCUUUGGAACGCAACAGGCCAAUUGAGAUCUGCGUACGAUUCUAAAACGUCUUCAGGUUUGAAAAC